AGAGUUUGAUCAUGGCUCAGGAUGAACGCUGGCGGUCUGCUUAACACAUGCAAGUCGAACGAAUCCCUUCGGGGAUUAGUGGCGGACGGGUGAGUAACGCGUGAGAAUCUACCAAAAGGACUGGGACAACCACUGGAAACGGUGGCUAAUACCGGAUGAGCCGCAACGUAAAAGAGGAAACUCGCCUUUUGAAGAGCUCGCGUCUGAUUAGCUAGUUGGUGAGGUAAAGGCUCACCAAGGCGGCGAUCAGUAGCUGGUCUGAGAGGAUGAUCAGCCACACUGGGACUGAGACACGGCCCAGACUCCUACGGGAGGCAGCAGUGGGGAAUUUUCCGCAAUGGGCGAAAGCCUGACGGAGCAAGACCGCGUGAGGGAGGAAGGCUCUUGGGUUGUAAACCUCUUUUGUCAGGGAAGAACACAAUGACGGUACCUGAAGAAUCAGCAUCGGCUAACUCCGUGCCAGCAGCCGCGGUAAUACGGAGGAUGCAAGCGUUAUCCGGAAUUAUUGGGCGUAAAGCGUCCGCAGGUGGCACUUCAAGUCUGCUGUCAAAGACCGGGGCUUAACCCUGGAAAGGCAGUGGAAACUGAAGCGCUAGAGUGUGGCAGGGGUAGAGGGAAUUCCCGGUGUAGCGGUGAAAUGCGUAGAGAUCGGGAAGAACAUCGGUGGCGAAAGCGCUCUACUGGGUCACAACUGACACUCAGGGACGAAAGCUAGGGGAGCGAAUGGGAUUAGAUACCCCCGUAGUCC
rnacentral:rRNA from 1 species